UGACGGUCCAGGAAUCCGGGGGCCUGGAUUCUGACGUCACCACACAAAACCUUUUAAAAACACCCUUGAAAACCUUUUUUUUUUUUUUUUGAAAUGAUAAUAAAAGUCAAAGGAUUUAAAACUUGAAAUUCAAACUUGAAAGCCAUAAUAAAAGAUUUGAAAGAGAACAUUUGAACCCCCUAAAACAACAGGAUCGCAUCCAGGUUACAAUAUUGAAAUUAGAAUCCACCACUAAUAUUACACAACUUCUCUUACCAAAUCAGAUCAUCUUCGAUAAGAAGAAUCACUGUCAACCUACUCCAGCCAUGACUUACAUCUGAAUCUUCAUAGCAUAACUCUAGCUAGCACCAACCUUAUCAACUUCCCUGAACACUCCUCGAUCACUGGAUCCUCAACUCUGUCUCCUCGCCUAGCAUUAGCCUUAUUCACAAUCUCAAUCAAUCAUCUCAUCUUUAAGCCUUUCUGAAAUGGUUAGAAAGGAAUAGCAAGGGUGAGCAACAAUGCUCAGCAAGUAAUAAUAAACAAUGAUAAUUCUGAAAUGAUAUAACAGAAGUUCACGAGUUCAAGAUAUAAAAGGAUUCAACCUGAGUUCAUGAAUUCAUGGUAUUGUAUAGAAUGAUUUACAAUACCUUGCAGCAUUUAAACUGAGAAAUUCAAUCUUUGCAAAGAAUUAUUGAAUUGGACUAUCACAUUUUAAUUAAAACCAAGGUUAGGCAGCUGAUCAGUUCCGCACUAACCCCGAGCAGGCCCCGCCAUGCUCUAUCACUGGAUCCAAGGCACUCAUUGGCCUAACAUGACCACGAAUCUGGUCCACAGGUUUAUAUAAAAACAAUAAUCCAAUUCUCUAAUUCAAUUCAAGAAGCCAAUGUAAAUUAACAGAACAUCAUCAUAAAUAUCAUCAACAACAGAAUAAUUCCAAUUCAAACUUUGAUAAUAAUCUAUUCAUAAAUCAUGAUCCAUCAUUUCAUAAAUCACAGUUCAGGAAAUCCUCAACUAUUCAGUAUCCUCCAUUAUCGGCUAAGCAACUGAAUUUAGCCUGCUAAACCAGCAUGACAAUGGCGGGUUGAAUAAUCAAGAAGAUCCCAAUUCAUUCAAAGCUCUAACUAUCACUGAGCAACACAUGCUUCAAUGACAAUCUGAACUUCGAAUUAAUUUGUAAAACGGAAAUUCUUUAGAAACUUGAAGAUUAGAAAGAAUGGGUCAGAAUACUCGCACUUUCGAACAUUGAAAAGAAAGGUAUGAAUACUUGAAACAUAUACCAAAGGAAUGGAUCAGAAUAUUUGCAAUAUAUCCAAGAGAAGGGUUUAGGAUACUUGCAACACAUCAAAAGAAUGAAUCAGAAUAUUUGCAAUAUAUCCAAAAGCAGGGUGCAGGAUACUUGCCUUAAAUCUGACUCCCGUCUCACAGCUCAUUCUCAUCUUUCAACUUUCACAAUCUAUGCAUCUCGUAAUCUCUAGACCAUCUCUAGCUAUACUCUAUUCGCCACAUCGCUUCGCUUACUCGAUUCAUCCCUUAUUCGCUUUGCAAUACCAUUCCGACUUUCUGACGUCUUCGAGCGUACACGUCUCGUCCAAAUCCUUUACGAGAAUAAGAUAAUACUAUAGUCACUAAACAAUAUAUCGCAUAUACAUAUCACGUAUAUCGAUACCCACUUAUAUAUCCCUUUAAACUUAUCAGAUACCACGUAACACAUAAGCAUGCUUUGACUCUAACAUAUAGUCAAUCAUAUUCCACAUAACAUAUCACCAAUCAAUUAUCAUAUAAAUCCUUAUCGAAAAUCCGACAUCGUCUCGUCUAUGUAUAAGACUAUCCACCUGUUAUCCUAUCUCAAUCAUUAAUCAACCAACAAAAUCCAAUAACUAUAAUCCAUAUAUUCUUAUCCAAUAUCAAUCAUACGAAUCAUUUAUCACUUCACAAUAUCAAAACUAACACGUACUUCACAUAAUCAUCACUUGAUAGCACUUAGAUCACAUAUUAUCACAUUAUGCAUACUUAUCAACAAUUAUUCACCUUAUAGACUCAGCCAUAUAGUCACAUCAUAUUAAAAUAGACGUUAUAAGCUUCUGUCUCUCUUUCGUUUCACUUGAUUCCGACUUACGGAUCAAAAGUUAUGCUCAAAACAGUUUUCUCACUCUCCUAUCGGCACAUAACACAUCCAACCAAUAGCAGACAACACACAACACAUAAGGUUUCCCAUCCCAAUUGAUAUUAAAUCAAGUCUUGGGUUAAAAAUGAUUUUUCGGGAAUUUUCUGGAAUUUUUAAACAUUUUUCGGAAUUAAAAUCGAUAAAAGAAUCACUUUUCGGAUAAAUAAUCAAGUCCCAAAUACUUGAAAUUGGACUUGAAAUCAUUCAUAAACAAUAAUAGAGCCUUGAAAAUAAUUUAGAAAAAUAUUUCAAAGCUCGAAACUAUUUUUCGGAAUUUUUAAAUCAAAAAGAAUAAUUAAAUCCAAUUAAUUAAUCAAUUAAAAUCAAUUAAUAAUUAAUUAAAAUAAUUAAUCAAUUAAUAUUUAAAUUAAUUGACCAAUUAAAAUAAUUAAUUACUAAUUAAAAUUAAUUAAUAAACUAAUUUAGAUUUAUUUUUGAAUAAAGAAAUAAUUAAAAACUAUUUUUGGAAUUUAAAAUAAUUAAAUAAAACAAUUUUAGAAAAUUAAAUCAAAAGGUUUAUUUUGUAAACUUUUGAAAGUUUUCGGCCAAGGUUCAAACUGUAACUUUUAGAAGUUACAGGGGGUAAUUUGUAAGUUUCAAAACCCGAGUACAACAUCUUCAUCAUCUUUCAAACCCUGGGGGCCGUUUAGCAGUUUUACACCGCCACCGCCCCCAGGUCGCCGGAAAAUGCUCCUCCGGCCUCCAACGGCCUCCAAACUCUCCAGAUCACUUACCCACACUCCCACAAACUCAUUUCACAGCUUAACUUAUGCAGAAACGCGGCCAUCUGGCCGGAAAACGCCCCGUAAGCGACGGUGGCGACAUUUUCCGGCGGCCAUAACCCGCCUCCGUUGCUCGUUUUCUCUACACCAUUCAACUCAUAUCCCUACGAUCUACCUAGUGGCAUAUUUAGUUUAUACCCAGAUUCAACCGAACGAAAAAUCCGGCAAAACUCAAAGUUUCCGGCGAAGAAACUCAAGAACACCAAGAACAUGCUUACAAGAAUUAAACCCCAUUUUCUAUAUGUUACCGAACUCGAAAUUCAACAUAUAAUAUACCAAAACGACGAGAAAAACACGCUCUACAACAUGACAUCAUCAAAUCACAUAAACGACAUCGUUUGCAAAAAUUCAACAUUUAAAAGCAAAUAAUUCGAAUUUUAUAAAAUUAAUCUAAAAUCACCUGUUGAAUCUGCACACAAACGGAUGAUUAAACUAGAUUCUACGCGUCGAUAGCUUCGUUUUGACUAUUCAUACGCCUCCAUCGGACUCCAAUAACGCCUUCAAAUCUUCGUUUGAUUAUGAAGAACACGAAGAACACCGCUCGGUUUCUCUCGGUAUUCGUGCAGAGAAACUGGUGAAAUGAUUUUACGGGUGAAAAUAAGCUCUAGAAAGGUAUAUUUAUAUUUACAAAUAAUUGGUACCCCUUUGGAUCGUUUAUGACAUGAAAAUACGUAUUUAAUAGCUUUAUAUUAAGAAAGUGGGGUCCAAUCGGUACUAGUUUUCAAGAUAAUCAUCAAAACGGGGCUUUUUAACUCAAUUAUUGGUCUGCGGGUCCCACUGCAAUUAUUACAUGAUAAGGAUGAAGAAAAUAUCCCGUUUCACGUUUAUCGAGACAAACGGAUAAUUAUCGACAAUUACAAUACCCGAAAAACUCCGCCGGACCGACUCCAGGGAAAACCGUACUCCGGAUCGAAAAAGUCAAAACACGAAAAGUGUCCGGAAUAUUCAAAUUAGGCUAAAGGUGAGUUUUCUCGAAACUUCCGGGAAGAAAAUUUGCUACACCGUUACGAGUGAACGGUUUUCGAAUAAUCAAAUAAUCAAUAAUUAAAUAUAAAUAUACGCAAUUAAAUCCGUAAAUCGAUUAUAAAAUCAUCUAACAUUCCAUAAAUCGAUAUGAAAAUAUCCAAAUAAACUAUAUUUUCUCCUGAGCAUAUUAAAAUCUCGCGAAUACGAACACAUACGAGCAUUCAGCUCAAUAAACUUGAUAACGCAAAAUUCACAAAAUUAUAUAAUAAUCACAUAAUAAUCAUAAAUGACCAUAAUUAAUUAAACGAGCAAUACCACAAGUAACAUUUAGUCACAUACCACAUAUAUUCACAUAAUUAUCAUCUAGAAUUUUCAAAACAAUAUAUGAAAAUCAGUUUUGAAAAUACAAUUAUUUAUUAACCCGGGGGUUUAAAUAUAAACCUUUGAAAACUCACUAAACUGGAAUAAAAUAUUAAAUCUUAUUCCUUUCUUUAAAUCUACACGUCGAUAGCUUCGUUUUGACUAUUCAUACACCUCCAUCGGAUUCCAAUAACACCUCCAAAUCCUCGUUUGAUUACGAAGAACACGAAGAACACACUUCGGUUUCUCUCGGUAUUCGUGCAGAGAAACUGGUGAAAAUGAU
rnacentral:lncRNA from 1 species